UCUGUACUUGUCUUGUGUCCCAGCGUCUUAUGUUCCCAACUACAGGGCAAAUGUACAAGGACCACAUCUAAUGCGUGUUUAUCUUCUCUCUGGAGCCAGUUACAUGGGCUGCUUCUUACAAACGGGCUUACUGGGAUUACACAGAGGCUAAUGCCUGAUGCAUGAGAUUUAAGAGAAGAGGCAAAAUCAACCUUGGCCCCGAGACAGGAACAGCACAUGAGACAUCUUUCCACAUGGAUUGGUAGUUUUAUCAAGUGGAAUUUAAUCCCCCCAAAUCAAGAGGAUUAUUUUGGCUGUCGUAGGGACACAGAGUCAUAACACCUCAACCAGGGCGAUGCCAAUGGACGUGGAGGGAAAAGAAAGAUGUGGGGGAAAACAUGAAGGAAAAGCUGACAAGACUGGGUGAACAAUGAAGUUUAGAAGGUAAUGGAAAUGGAAGUUAAAUAAAGCUUCAUUUUGUUUUUCA
rnacentral:lncRNA from 1 species